GCCGAAUGAACUAGCCCUGAAAAUGGAUGGCGCUAAAGCGUGCGACUUAUACUCAGCCAUCAGCGCGAGACGUAUGUGCUGAUGAGUAGGAGGGCGUGAUGCUCGUAUCGAAGCCUUGGGCGUGAGCCUGGGUGAAACGUGCAUUAGUGCAGAUCUUGGUGGUAGUAGCAACUAUUCAAAUGAGAACUUUGAAGACUGAAGUGGGGAAAGGUUCCACGUGAACAGCAAUUGGACGUGGGUUAGUCGAUCCUAAGAGAUAGGAGAAAUCUGUUGUAAGGUCUGGCUAUCUUCGGAAAGCCGCUUCUAUCGAAAGGGAAUCGGGUUAAUAUUCCCGAACCAGGACGUGGAUAUUGAGUGGCAACACAAGCAAAACCGGGGAAGGCGGCGAGGGCUCCGAGGAGAGUUAUCUUUUC
rnacentral:rRNA from 13 species